GGAAUAUUGCGCCAUGGAGGAAACUCUGACGCAGCAACGCCGCGUGUAGGAUGAAGGCCCUUUGGGUCGUAAACUACUGUAGCAGGGGAAUAACGGUCACCCGUGGGGUGACAUGAAGGUACCCUGAAAGUAAGCGCCGGCUAACUACGUGCCAGCAGCCGCGGUAAUACGUAGGGCGCAAGCGUUGUCCGGAUUCACUGGGUGUAAAGGGUGCGUAGGCGGGACAGUAAGUCAGUGGUGAAAUCUCACGGCUCAACCGUGAAACUGCCGUUGAUACUGCUGUUCUUGAGUUCAGGAGAGGUUGAUGGAAUUCCAGGUGUAGCGGUGAAAUGCGUAGAUAUCUGGAAGAACACCAGUGGCGAAGGCGGUCAACUGGCCCGAGACUGACGCUGAGGCACGAAAGCGUGGGGAGCGAAC
rnacentral:rRNA from 1 species